rnacentral:rRNA from 1 species
UACAGAGGGUGCAAGCGUUAAUCGGAAUUACUGGGCGUAAAGCGCGCGUAGGUGGUUUGUUAAGUUGGAUGUGAAAUCCCCGGGCUCAACCUGGGAACUGCAUUCAAAACUGUCGAGCUAGAGUAUGGUAGAGGGUGGUGGAAUUUCCUGUGUAGCGGUGAAAUGUGUAGAGAUCGGGAGGAACACCGGUGGCGAAGGCGGGUCUCUGGGCAUCUCCUGACGCUGAGGCGCGAAAGCGUGGGGAGCAAACGGG